rnacentral:rRNA from 1 species
UUGACCUCAAAUCAGGUAAGAAUACCCGCUGA